rnacentral:rRNA from 1 species
AGAUUGAACGCUGGCGGCAUGCUUUACACAUGCAAGUCGAGCGGCAGCGCGGGGCAACCCUGGCGGCGAGCGGCGAACGGGUGAGGAACACAUCGGAACGUGCCCCGGAGUGGGGGAUAACGCCGCGAAAGCGGCGCUAAUACCGCAUAUGCUCUGAGGAGGAAAGCGGGGACCUGUGAGGGCCUCGCGCUCUGGGAGCGGCCGAUGUCCGAUUAGCUAGUUGGUGGGUAAUGGCUCACCGAAGGCGACGAUCGGUAGCUGGUCUGAGAGAUGAUCAGCCACACGUGGACUGAGACACGGCCAGACUCCGACGGGAGCAGCGAGUGGGUAAUUUUGGACGAAGUCGGGGACAACCCGUGACUCCGAGCCAUCGCCGCGGUGGACGGGAAGAACGGUCCGUUACGGGUUACGUAAACCGGUACGUUUUAAGGUACGGGAAAG